rnacentral:rRNA from 1 species
GACGAACGCUGGCGGCGUGCUUAACACAUGCAAGUCGAGCGGUAAGGCCCUUUCGGGGGUACACGAGCGGCGAACGGGUGAGUAACACGUGGGUGACCUGCCCUCAGCUCUGGGAUAAGCCUGGGAAACCGGGUCUAAUACUGGAUAUGACUCCAUGACGCAUGUUGUGGGGUGGAAAGCCUUGUGCGGCUGAGGAUGGGGCCCGCGGCCUAUCAGCUUGUUGGUGGGGUGANGGCCUACCAAGGCGACGACGGGUAGCCGGCCUGAGAGGGCGACCGGCCACACUGGGACUGAGACACGGCCCAGACUCCUACGGGAGGCAGCAGUGGGGAAUCUUGCGCAAAUGGGCGAAAGCCUGACGCAGCGACGCCGCGUGAGGGAUGACGGCCU